GUAUUUAAAGUAUUAGAGGCACUGCCUGCCCAGUGACACUAGUUUAACGGCCGCGGUAUCCUGACCGUGCAAAGGUAGCAUAAUCACUUGUUCUCUAAAUAAGGACUGGUAUGAAUGGCCACACGAGGGUUUUACUGUCUCUUACUUUUAAUCUAUGAAAUUGACCUUCCCGUGAAGAGGCGGGAAUAAACAAAUAAGACGAGAAGACCCUAUGGAGCUUUAAUUAAUUAAUUUAUAAGAAACAUAUAAAACCGACAAGGACCAACACAACUUCUUAUAUAAAUUAACAAUUUAGGUUGGGGUGACCUCGGAAUACAAAUCAACUUCCGAGUGAUUUUAAGCCUAGACCCACAAGUCAAAGCAAUACAAUCAUUUAUUGAUCCAAAAUUUUUGAUCAACGGAACAAGUUACCCUAGGGAUAACAGCGCAAUCCUAUUUAAGAGUCCCUAUCGACAAUAGGGUUUACGACCUCGAUGUUGGAUCAGGACAUCCUAAUGGUGCAGCAGCUAUUAAUGGUUCGUUUGUUCAACGAUUAAAGUCCUACGUGAUCUGAGUUCAGACCGGAGAAUAAA
rnacentral:rRNA from 1 species